rnacentral:rRNA from 1 species
AACGAACGCUGGCGGCAGGCUUAACACAUGCAAGUCGAGCGCCCCGCAAGGGGAGCGGCAGACGGGUGAGUAACACGUGGGAACGUACCUUUUGCUACGGAAUAGCUCCGGGAAACUGGAAUUAAUACCGUAUGUGCCCUUCGGGGGAAAGAUUUAUCGGCAAAAGAUCGGCCCGCGUCUGAUUAGCUAGUUGGUGGGGUAAUGGCCUACCAAGGCGACGAUCAGUAGCUGGUCUGAGAGGAUGAUCAGCCACACUGGGACUGAGACACGGCCCAGACUCCUACGGGAGGCAGCAGUGGGGAAUAUUGGACAAUGGGCGCAAGCCUGAUCCAGCCAUGCCGCGUGAGUGAUGAAGGCCUUAGGGUUGUAAAGCUCUUCCGCUAGGGAAGAUAAUGACGGUACCGCAAGAAUAAGCCCCGGCUAACUUCGUGCCAGCCGCCGCCGUAAAAC